GUGGAUAUAGCUCAGUGGCAGAGCAUAUGCUCUGCAUGCACAAGGUCCUGGGUUCAAUUCCCAGUACCUUCA